rnacentral:lncRNA from 7 species
AAAAAGAAAGAAAAAAUAAGAACAAAAAAUAUGAAAAAAGAAAAAAGAAAAGAAAAUAAGAAAAAGAGAAAAAAGAAAAGAAAAAAAGAAAAAAAUGAAGACAAAAAAGAGAAAAGAAAAAAAUGAAAAAAGAGAAAAAAAGAAAAGAAAAAAAAUGAAAAAAAAGAGUAAAAGAGAAAGAAAUGAAAAAAAGAGAAAAAAGAGAAAAGAAAAAAAAAUGAACAAAAAAGAGAAAAAGAGAAAAGAUAAAAAAAGAAAAAGAUAAAGAAAAGAGAAAAGAAAAAAAGAAAAUAGAAAUAAAAAAGAGGACAGAAAAAUAUGAAAAAAAGAAAAAAAAGAAAAGAAAAAAACAUAGAUGAAAAAAGAAAAACAAAGGAAAAACGAAUAAUGACAAGAGAAGAAAGGUAAAGAGAAAAGAAGAAAAAAGCCAAGUCAAAAAGUAAAGAAUAACUCGAAGGAAGGAGUGGAUGGCAAGAAAUACAGGGAAAGCAAUGCAUAGCACAGCAAGCAAAGCAAGGCAAAAUAGCAGCCAAAGCCACGAGAAUCAAGAAGUCAGUGAAGAGCAGGAAAGGAAUGGAGGAAUCUGGCCAGAGCUGUGCCCCUGCUUGCCACAGGAGCUGCGCGGGAGGAGAAGAAUGUGGGCCAAAAGGUGUUCCACUUUGGCUUUGUAUGACACAGUGGACGAGAGGGGACGGCGUUCAGUGGAACAAACGCUGCAGACCCUGGGGAGAAUCAAAGCAGGAGAGAGGAAACGUGCCCUUUGCAGCAGGGGCCGUUGUGCUGGCAUUGCCCAUCGCAUCCACUGCUGCUGUGGUCCUUUCUUUCCUUUGGGCAGUUUGCUGUCUCUCACGGGGUUGUCUACAAUAGGUGUUUGUUUGUGUGUCCGUGUGAGGCUGUUGAAUAAAAUUCCUACCUCUGUGUUCUGCUCUGGGUGCGUGGUUUUCUUGCCUCUGCUCCUGAGGCAUCCUGACUGUCGGAUCCAAACGUACCCUGGGACAGACAGACAGACAGCCAGCCAAGGCAGGCAGGUGCUGCGAUGCCAACCGUCCAGCCAGCCAAGGCAGGCAGGCACGUGUGUGUGUGUGUGUGGGUGUGCGCAAGGGUGGGGUUGCACAUGUUUUGUGUACACGUGGGUGCACAAGGGGAGGGGUUACACAGCUGUGAGUAAGCACAUGGAGAGUAUAAGGAUGGAGUUGCACACGUGUGUGUGCAAGGGUUAACAAACUGGUGGGGUUGCGCAGGUGCGUGCAUUCACAGGGCUGUGCAAAGUGUUGGGGUUGCACAUGUGGGUGAGUGCGCAAGGGCGGGGUGGUACAGGUUUGUGCACGCAAGUCGUGAGUGCAAGGAAGGGUUGCACACGUGCCUGUACGCAGGGGUGUGCAAAGGGGUGGGGAUGCACAAGUGUGUGCAUAGAAGUGGUUUUGGGCAAGGAUGGGCUUGCAGGUGUGUGCGUGCACGUGGGUGUGUGCAAGGGUCGAUUUAGACGUGUGUGUGCACGGUUGUGCAAAGGGGUGGGAGUGCAGGUGCGUAUGAGCAUGUGGGAAGUGUGUGAACAAGGUGGCACAUGUGUGUGUUUGCCCAGGGGAGCUCAAAAGUGUGGGGUUGCACACGUGCAUGUGUAAUCGGAUGUCUUCUUCAAGAUAUUUGCCCAUGCAUGUGCAAAGGAAUGGGGUUGCAUAUGCUUGUGAAAGCAAACGAGGGUGUGCAAAGGGGUCUGGCUGGUGCACAUGGGUGUCUGUGCAUGGAGGUAGACAGAAGGUUGCAUACAUGUACGUGUGCACAGUGCUAUGCAAAUGGAUGGGGUUACACAAGUGUGUGCAUGCACGUGUUUGUGUGCAAGGAGGGACUUGCAUGUGUGCGUGCUCAGGGGUGUGCAAAGAGGUGGGGCUGCACACGUGCACACGCAGCUAGAUGUUUCCAGGAUGGUAUUUGCAUGUGAGUGUGCAAAAGGGUUGCGUUGCACACGUGUCUGCAUUUACAUGUAUGUCUGCAUAAUCAUGGUUAGGAGCAUCGGGGUCUUUGCACAUGGCUGCAUGGUUUUGCAUACCUUUGCAUGCGUACGGAUGGUGUGUGCACACGGGUGUGCAAGGAUGUGCUUGCAUGUGUGUGACUGCACAGGUACGUGUGGGAGUACAUCUUUGCACUUGUGUGUAUGGUUCUGCACACAUGCGCAUUCAUAUGCGUGUGCAAGGCUGUGCUUGCACGUCUGCAUGCAAAUGGAGGCAUGCAAGGUGCUGUUUGCGAGUGAGCGUGCAAAGGUGGCCCAUGUGGGUGUGUGUUCAUAUGUGUGUGCAAAUAUGGGCUUGCACAGCUAUGUGCAGAGGGAUGCGGUUGCAAUGUCUGCACAUGGGUUUGUGCAAGGGCAGGGUCGCACAGCUUGACCACAAAUACGCCAUAGGGUUGAACCGCACGUGUUCAUGCACGCAUGUGGCUGUUUGCACACAGGAGUGCAAAGGAUGUGCAUGUGUGUGCAAAGGUAGGCUUGAAAUGUGUGCGUACAGAUCGCUGUGCUUGAACAUGGAUGUGUCAUUUUGCACACGUGUGUACAUGCAUGUAGAUGUAUGUGUGCUCAUGGAUGUCAGCAAAGGUGUUCUUGCACAUGUGUGCACGUGUUUGCCUG